UACAGAGGGCAAGCGUUAUUCGGAAUUAUUGGCGUAAAGGGCGCGUAGGCGGCUUGCAAGUGACGGGUGAAGCCUCGGCUUAACCGAGGAACUGCCUGUCAGACUGUGAGGCUUGAGACCGGGAGAGGUGAGUGGGAAUUCCCAGUGUAGCGGUGGAAUGCGCAGAUAUCAGGAGGAAUACCCAUAGCGAAGGCAGCUCGCUGGGACGGUACUGACGCUGAGGCGCGAAAGCGUGGGGAGCGAACAGG
rnacentral:rRNA from 1 species